rnacentral:rRNA from 1 species
UAAGUCAGAACCGUGCUAGAAACGAUGAUGUUGGUCCCGCACAUAUUAGCUGUGUUAAAAUAGAGCUUUGCUCGUGAACCAAAUCAGACAGACGUGGAUGCUGCAGUGGAAAUCUGUGGUGUCUAGUUUGUGAAUUGUAAUUACCAUAUGGGCGGGGGUGAAUCCUUUGCAGACGACUUGAAUGGGAACGGGGUACUGUAAGCAGUAGAGUAGCCUUGUUGCUACGAUCUGCUGAGGUUAAGCCCUUGUUCUAAAGAUUUGU